ACUCCUACGGGAGGCAGCAGUGGGGAAUAUUGCACAAUGGGCGCAAGCCUGAUGCAGCCAUGCCGCGUGUGUGAAGAAGGCCUUCGGGUUGUAAAGCACUUUCAGUUGUGAGGAAGGUGGUGUCGUUAAUAGCGGCAUCAUUUGACGUUAGCAACAGAAGAAGCACCGGCUAACUCCGUGCCAGCAGCCGCGGUAAUACGGAGGGUGCGAGCGUUAAUCGGAAUUACUGGGCGUAAAGCGCAUGCAGGUGGUUUGUUAAGUCAGAUGUGAAAGCCCGGGGCUCAACCUCGGAACUGCAUUUGAAACUGGCAGACUAGAGUACUGUAGAGGGGGGUAGAAUUUCAGGUGUAGCGGUGAAAUGCGUAGAGAUCUGAAGGAUACCGGUGGCGAAGGCGGCCCCCUGGACAGAUACUGACACUCAGAUGCGAAAGCGUGGGGAGCAAACA
rnacentral:rRNA from 1 species